AUUGAACGCUGGCGGCAGGCCUAACACAUGCAAGUCGAGCGGAAACGAGUUAUCUGAACCUUCGGGGAACGAUAACGGCGUCGAGCGGCGGACGGGUGAGUAAUGCCUAGGAAAUUGCCUUGAUGUGGGGGAUAACCAUUGGAAACGAUGGCUAAUACCGCAUAAUGCCUACGGGCCAAAGAGGGGGACCUUCGGGCCUCUCGCGUCAAGAUAUGCCUAGGUGGGAUUAGCUAGUUGGUGAGGUAAUGGCUCACCAAGGCGACGAUCCCUAGCUGGUCUGAGAGGAUGAUCAGCCACACUGGAACUGAGACACGGUCCAGACUCCUACGGGAGGCAGCAGUGGGGAAUAUUGCACAAUGGGCGCAAGCCUGAUGCAGCCAUGCCGCGUGUAUGAAGAAGGCCUUCGGGUUGUAAAGUACUUUCAGCAGUGAGGAAGGGGGUGUCGUUAAUAGCGGCAUUUCUUGACGUUUAGCUUGCAGAAGAAGC
rnacentral:rRNA from 1 species